rnacentral:lncRNA from 1 species
UUGUAGAUUGUGCUGUUCGAGCUUGGAGGCUUAAAUACCCUACUUCUAAGAAUGAUGAUUGUGCUGUUGUAUGCCUAUUUCUAGAUCAUAUAUCUGCAGCCAACACGGCCGUGGUAGAAUAUAAGAUGACAAGAAAUCCUGAUGAGCCAAUAGAGAAGGCAGUCAUAGUAGACUCAAAAAAUGAGGGCCUAAACGUCAAUGAAAAGUCUCAGGCUUCUUUUCUAGAGUCUUCGGGUACUUUACAAUUAGGAGCAGAUGAGAUUGUUCCUGCCAGCGAACAAGUCAAUGAAACAGUUUCUGGAAAGUCCGAGAUUCAAUCUAAGAGGAGCCUAGCUGAGUGCAUUU